CGAACGCUGGCGGCGUGCUUAACACAUGCAAGUCGAACGGAAAGGCCCUGCUUGCAGGGUACUCGAGUGGCGAACGGGUGAGUAACACGUGGGUGAUCUGCCCUGCACUUCGGGAUAAGCCUGGGAAACUGGGUCUAAUACCGGAUAGGAGCCAUUUUUAGUGUGAUGGUUGGAAAGUUUUUUCGGUGUAGGAUGAGCUCGCGGCCUAUCAGCUUGUUGGUGGGGUAAUGGCCUACCAAGGCGGCGACGGGUAGCCGGCCUGAGAGGGUGGACGGCCACAUUGGGACUGAGAUGCAGCCCAGACUCCUACGGGAGGCAGCAGUGGGGAAUAUUGCACAAUGGGCGCAAGCCUGAUGCAGCGACGCCGCGUGGGUGAUGACGGCCUUCGGGUUGUAAACUCCUUUCGCUAGGGACGAAGCUUUUUGUGACGGUACCUAGAGAAGAAGCACCGGCUAACUACGUG
rnacentral:rRNA from 1 species